ACGCUCGACACCUACGGGAGACAGCAGUGGGGGAUAUUGCGCAAUGGGGGGGAACCCUGACGCAGCAACGCCGCGUGAAGGAAGAAGGCCUUCGGGUUGUAAACUUCUGUCUUUAGGGAAGAAGGAAGUGACGGUACCUAAGGAGGAAGCCACGGCUAACUACGUGCCGGCAGCCGCGGUAAUCUGAGCGGGCUGGCGAAGGC
rnacentral:rRNA from 1 species